CUACCUUGGAAGGAAGCCAAGGCCUAAUUGGCCCCAUAUUCCAGUGGUCAGCAUGCCUUGGUAACCUCUGUAGACCUGAUCAUCAGCGACAACAAACCUCAUGUUCUUCAGGACUGAAAACUUGUAUAGAUCCAGUGGGUGUGCAACAUAAAGAAAUAUGGAGGGUGGAAAAUUGUCUUUUGGACUUACUCUGUGCAGAAGACAGCCUACCUUUUAGUACUGAGGUACUUUGGAUGACUGGGACUGAGUCCUUAGAGCUAGCUCUGGACAACUGCAGAAUGCAUGCUCAAAGGUGAUCCAUGGAGCUGAGCUGUUCAAACACUUUGUCUCUCAGUCAGAGGUUGAAGAGUGAGCCAAUGGAAAGAAUGCGCCUGACAAUUACAUCCUACCUCCUGGAUGAGCAAAUCAGGUCAUUCACCAAUGCUGUUUACAUCUGUAGUUAAUUUCAUCUUAUCAAGACAGAUGAAGCAAAUCCAUUUUCUGUGAAUAGCAGGGUCUAGCAGACUCGAAUGACAGUCUGAAGACUGGUGUGAGAAAAAUCUUUGCUUGCCUACCAGGGCACAGGGUUCGUGUACCAAAAUGUUUCUGUGGAACUCAGUGGACAACCUUUAGGAGUCAGUUUGCUCCUUUCAUCCUGUGGGUUCCAGUCUGAGACCCCAGUUCAUGGAAUGGUACACCCUACACUCAGGAUGACUUUCUCCUCAGGCAACCUGUCUGCCAACAUCCUUACAGGCAAACCCAGACUCCUGGUAGCACUGAAACUAGGAAUGUUUAUCCAUGGGAAAUUAUUAUAUCCCUUUUAUUUGCCAAAGUGUUUGGGCCGUUGUCAAAGAAUAAAUAUCCCCAGGAGAAUGAGAAUAAGCCAACAUGGACAUAAGCCAUGAAUGACUUAGAAGAUCAAGAAUAUUCAAGAAAGAGGAACUGCCUAGAUGUCCAUCAACUGAUAGAUAACGAAAAUGUAAUAUAUUUAAACAACUGAAUAUUACUCAGCUAUAAAAACAGUAUUAUAAAGUUCACAAGGAUAUGAAUGGAGUUAAAAAAAUAAAUCAUUCUGAGUGAUGCAACCCAGAUCCAGAAAGAAAAUUGCCAUGUGUUUUCUCUCAUUUGUGGAUAUUAGCUUUGAAUAUUCAGAUAUGUGUUCUGUUUGGAUUGUUCCCAGAGAUCACAAGAUUAGUAAGGAAUUAUGGCAAUGGUAAAGGGGGCAAUCAAGGGAGGGGAGAGACACACGGAAUUAUAAAAGUUAAAUGGGUAUAAUGGGGCAGGAAGGCUUAAAUUGGGUGUGAAGGCCAGGCAGAGCAGGGAUUAUUAGAAGGGAAAAAAUAACACUAUAACACUCAAGUUUUUGUUUUGUUUUGUUUUUAAGUCAUAUGGAGCCCUGACCACAGGAUCUCCAUGACUCAUAGCAACAGCAGGAUAUCCAAGAGGAGUCUUUUUGAGGGUAUAGUAUGGGAUGGUGUAGAUGAAGCCAGAGGCCUUCAACCAGACAUUGACUCAUUGCAAUGAACAUUUGCAAGUACAGCUAUUUGGUCAAAGGGGCAUACUGUGUGAUACUUUGUGGCUCUCAAUGCCACUAUGGCAAAUGAGUAUAUGAUGUAGAAGCAGGACAGACCCACAUGUGGAUUGGUACAAGUACGGCAAGACAACAGCUAUGACUGGCACAAGAGAAAGUUAAGAUGGAUAGAGGAGCAAGUUUUU
rnacentral:sRNA from 1 species